rnacentral:rRNA from 1 species
UAGGGCUUCACACGUCAUACGAUGGUCGGUACAGAGGGUUGCCAACCCGCGAGGGGGAGCUAAUCCCACAAAGCCGAUCGUAGUCCGGAUCGCAGUCUGCAACUCGACUGCGUGAAGUCGGAAUCGCUAGUAAUCGUGGAUCAGCAUGUCCACGGUCGAAUACGUUCCCGGGUCCUU